GGGUAUCGAGAUGGUAUCAAUGUGUGGUGGUUUAGAUUUGCUUGUAUCCUCCUUUUUUGGUUUAGUUGGGGGCAAAUUGAUGGUUGAUUUAAACUUUGGUUGUUUAGAAGUGAAGAGAGAGAGAGCUAGUUGAAAAAGGGAUAAUUGUUGAUAAAUCCCAUGGAAGUGUUCUCUCUUUGUGAAGGUUAUUUGGGAAGUCAUGCUCUGAUUAUGCUAGCCCAGU
rnacentral:lncRNA from 1 species